UUUCAUGAGAUGAACUGCCUGUUACAGGUGAUCCAGGAUAGUAACAAGCAGUUAUGGAAUGCCUAUACACCAAAUGUUCUGGGCACUUUUGGAUGUAGGUGCGUCCCCAAACACAGUUGUAAUACGAGUGCUGAUCAUUGGGGUUGGGGUACAGCCCAUCUGGUCUUCCAUAACAAGGGUUUCCAUGUGAUGUUUUGUAAACUCGAAGAUUUCUCGCAAAGCCAGGUACACCUAAAAUAAUCAUUUUCAGACAUGUAAAAAUUCCUGUUAAACCAUAAAUGCUGAAAAUGUAAUUACAAGAGAAUACAACAAAGAUGACAUACUUAAAACUACUAAUCCAC
ensembl:lncRNA